rnacentral:rRNA from 1 species
UACAGAGGGUGCGAGCGUUAAUCGGAUUUACUGGGCGUAAAGGGUGCGUAGGCGGUUAUACAAGUGGGAUGUGAAAGCCCCGGGCUUAACCUGGGAAGUGCAUACCAUACUGUAUAGCUGGAGUAUAUGAGAGGGUGGUGGAAUUUCCGGUGUAGCGGUGAAAUGCGUAGAGAUCGGAAGGAACGUCAAUGGCGAAGGCAGCCACCUGGCAUAAUACUGACGCUGAAGCACGAAAGCGUGGGGAGCAAACAGG